rnacentral:lncRNA from 1 species
UUUUUUUUUCCUUUUCCCUUUUCCUUUUAACUUUUCUCCACGCGUCUUUUCCUCGGUGUUCGUUCGUUGGAAUAAAAAAAAAAUCGCCGUGGGCCGUCCGUCGGCGUGGUGCGCGGGCCUAGCGCGUGGGGCCCGGUGGCUUGACGGGUGGGGGCGAGAGUCGUCGGCCGGCCUUCCGCGGUGGCCGGCGGCCGUGCGCCGGGGCCGGCGGGGACCCCGCGGCCCGUACGGCGGUACACGCGUCCGGCCGUGCCGUGUACCCCCUACCACAUUGUGUUUUAGUGCAGAAGAAGAAUAUACGUAUGCAUGCAGGGACCAUUUUCCACGGUGAUCCCGUCGUCUGGCCGUUACUGCCGACGGUGCACCGCAUUAUUGAUUCAGAAUAUCGUGUAGAGCGUGCCUAAAAUACAACUACUACUACAGUACCGCUAAAGUGCAUCUAGAUGUGUCAUAAGUAUCGCACGCACAUCUUCGUCACUUGGUUUCUCUUCCCAUGUCUACUGACGCUGGCCUGGUCGAAAUCGUAUGGCAAGUCAGGCAUCGCGCACAUAAGUUGUAAUUUUGCGUUAGUGCAUCCAGACCAUGCCACCUUAUCAUUUUUGGGGAAUCAGCCUGUGCAUGUCGAUCGCAAUUCAAAUUGUUUGCGUUCAUUUUCGUAAGGCCAUGAAUGGUACACGUUUCGGAUGCUUGCGGCAAAAAUAUAUAGCAUCUUUCAUAUAUUUGUUUGUUUUGUUAAAGCUGGUGUCGUGUUAAGGUUGAUUUAAACCUUUUCUUUUUUUAUACCCGCAAAAGAAAGUGUUUUCUCUUUUAACACAUUAUUAUUUUGCCACAUGCUUUGUAAGUUUAUCGUUUCUAACAUUUGCAUUUGUUUUUCAUUAGAUUUUUAUGUUUCCAAACAGCAACUUAUACAUUUGUUAUUAGUUUUUUAUGUUUCCAAACACCAACAUAUACAUCUGUUUUAACACGGUUCCUGUGGCAAUUCACAGGGCAUCGUCUAGUUUCCCAAACAAGCGAGGUUAAAAUCUUUGACCUUGUAUCAAAAACAUUGUAAAAGUGUGUGGUUCAUAUGCGCGUGAGAUACCUGUCAUCUGGAGAAAAAAACAAUUUUACAGGCAUCGCAUCGCCGACAUGUGAUUAUUGUUGUUGAUUACGACUUGCUUGAGGUGCCGGCCCAUUUUUGCACCUAAACAUUAUCACAAAUUUGUAUUUGGCGCGGGCGGAUGUGGACCAUUUUCCCAGUGAUAUGUCAGCCUCACCAUGUCACAUUAUUAUUUGGAUUAUGUCGUAGUAUUUUCCCAAAAGACAAGUGAGGUUACAUCUUAGAUCUUGUAUGUCAAAAACACUGUAAACAUGUGGUCCAUGGGCACGGCACUUUUCACCAAGAAACCUAAUUUAGUUGGCCUCACCGACAUAUAAAUACUUUUUUGAUAACGACUUUUUCUUUCUUGAUAACGACUCGUUAGAGGAGCCAAUUCAUUAUGCGGGCUUCACAUUCUGGCACUACAACUACGUAAUAUUUUUUUUCUUGAAAACAACUCAUAAGAGUAAGUUGUGAUCAUCGAUGAGUUUAUGGGCUCUCUACUCGUCAUGGUGAAUCUACUAUAUCAAAAUAGAAGCCCCCACUACGUGAUUUUCCUGCCCUCACAAUCAGCCGGUCACAAAUUAGUUCAUUCGUUUGAUUAAUCAUGGAUGGACAGAAAUUAGUUGUAAAUUUGCAUUAGUGUAUCCAUGCAUGCCUUUUUUGGGGAAAUCAGCUCACGCAUGUCGAUUGCAAAUGUUUGCGUUCAUUUUCGUAUGGUCAUGAGUGGUACAUGUUUCGGAUGCUUGCGGCAAAAUAUAUAGCGUGCUUCAUUUUUUUUGUUAAACAUGGCAUCACGUUAUAUUAGAUUUAAAUGUCUUCUCUUCUUUUCUCGGUGCACGUUGGUUCGGAUUAAAAAUCUUCGUGGCCCUUUCGUUGGUGUGGUGCGCGGGCCUGGCGCAUGGGGCCCGCUUGGCGGGAGAGAGAGUGUGGAAUCAGCCGCCCUUCCACAGUGGCGGACGGGGACACGUUGCUCGUAUGGCGAUACACGCGUCCGGCCGCUGUGGGUCCCAAAUUUGUAUUUGGUAGAGAAGAAUGGACAGGUAGUGAUCCCGUCGUCUAGCUAUUAUCAACGAUGUGCCGCAUUACCAAAUUGGAAUAUUUCUCAAACAAGUGAGGAUGAAAUCUUGGAAAUCUAAUUUUCCAGGCAUCGUCGACAAGUGAUUUUCUUUAUUGACAAUGACUUGCUAGAGGCGUCGGCUCAUUUCGUGAGCUUCGAAUUAUCACGGACUGUAAUAUUUUCCUAGUGACAUGUCAGUCUCACUAUGUCGCAUUAUUACUCGGAUUAUGUCGGAGUAUUUUUCCAAAAGGACAAGUGAGGUUACAGCGUGGGUCUUGUGUGAAAGCACCGAAAACAUGUGUUACAUGGGCAAGACACUUGUCACCAAGAACAUAAUUCAGCAUGCCUCGCCGACAUAUGAUUUAUUACCUCUGUUCAGAAAUAACUGAUGUGGUAUUAGUUAAAAUUUAAACUAAAAUUCCCUCAAACAAAUUAAACUAAAACCGCGUCAAUUAUUUUUGAAUGAGGGCAGAUAAUGACUUGUUAGAUGGGUCGAUUCAUUUUGUGGGCUUCAUGUCAUACAAGAAAGAAUCACGCGCUUUGUCGUGCCGUUCUUCAUCAUGAGUCAAAAUUUCCCCAGGAUUGGUCUCUGGUUUGUGGGCUUCUAACUCGAAAUUUUUCCUUGAGGUGGUGUCGUCCUCCGCAUUUGUUAGAGGUAGGGUUUAGACGUGAGAAAAAAGUCAUCUAUAGUAGCAAUUCUUUUUUGAGAACUUAUAGUUACAUACGACACGUGUUUUAGAGAAAAUUCACACUCGCGCUGGCCAUAGAGCCCCAGCAGCGCAAAACUUAUCACUGUCAGGCUGCGACAGGACGCUUUUAGCGUCCAAUAGCACUUCACCGCCGGGUACCUUAUAUAUUGGGAUGGCCCAUUAGCAUAGGUUGGUCAGAUGUUCUUUUUCCCUUUAUUUGUGUUAAAUUUUCUUCACUUUUAUUUGCUUUUAAGAAAUGACUACACAUUUGAAAAAUGUUCAUGUGGUUACAAACUGUGCUCAUGUAUUUAUUUAUUUUGAACAUUCACGCAUUUAAAUAUUCACAUAUUUGAUAAAAUGAAUUUUGAAACUUGAUCGUGAGAUUUAAAAAAUGCUCAUGCAUGUUUUGAUAAGAAGUGUUCGUGUAUUUCUCCAAAACAAUUGUGUCUGUGUGCCGCGCGUGUGUUGUUUAACAAUAUUUCAUAAAAGAAGAAAGAAAAAAGAAAAAGCUGAAGCAAAAAAUAAAAUGGAAUGAAGUUAAAAGAGAGAGAAUGAAUCAAGUGAUCUUAUUGAUACGAAGGGUAUAUAUCCAUAUUGAGGGGUUGCUUCAAGACAUGGCAGUACAUGUUAGGUGAGAAAGAAUGCGACUGUUUGGGUUGAACACACCCCUUUACCAAUGACGUUCGUUAAUAAUAUGUAUUCAUAAGCACAAGUUAUUUAUAUCUAACAUUUUUCUUUAUUGCAUCAGAUUUGCCUGCCUCCAUUGUUUGGGCAUUUUGCUAUUGGCUUUUUUGGCGCCCUUGUUGUUUAUCGGCUAGAUGUAUCUUUUUGGCGCCCUUGUUGUUUAUCGGCUGGACGUAUCUUUUUGGCGUCCUUGUUGUUUAUCGGCUAGACGUAUCAUUUUUUUGGGUGGAGUUACAUAGCUGGAUCUGAUGUCAAGAGGUGGUGGAAGUGCUAUACGUAGCUGGACUGCUAUCUUUGGGGAAGUGCUAGACGCAAGCCACACGAACACAAGGGCUACACACUAUGACAUGCCGACAACAUAGGCCCUCCCGCCUGCAAGACUCAUGACCCACUAGAUAGCUUUAUUUUAAGAGAGCUUAUUAUUUUUUAGAGAUGUUUCUUCUUGAAAGCACCUCAUAAGAGUAAUUGUGAUCAUCGAUGAGUUUAUGCAUUCUCUACUCUUCGUGGUGAAUUUAGUAAAUUUCAAGUUAUAUAUAUAAACAAAACUGCGAAUAUCUAGAGAAAUGUGAAGUGUGAGGUAUCUCUCUCAAUAGCGGCUUGCCAUGUACUUCCCGUGGGCAACACCCAAACGCCCAAACCUUAACCACUACUACAUCGAUCUCAUGUACUCUUGUGGUAGUUGUGGGUAGGGACGAAGCUAGAAAAAAACUUAGCAGGAUCAUGUCUAUGAUAGUGGGGUCAUCAUCUAUAAAUGAAUAAGGAUUAGUACUAAAUUAGUGAAGGAUUUGCUAAUUUGAUUGGGUCAACUGACCCCAUUGCUUACAAGGAAGCUCCGUCCAUGGUUGUGGUUUGUGGGAUGCACGAUAGACUCCAAAGGACACACAUGCAUCAUUCCUAAUUUGAAGGAUUGGCCUUGAAAAGAGUUAUCGAGGUUUUGUUCACCAUUGAAUGAGUCAGUCAAAGGCAACACGCUAAUAUGAUCUUCUUCGUGAAAAAAUUAUGAGAUUUCCAAAGAAAUAAAAGCAAGAAAUUUUAAAGAGCGUUGAUGGAGGUUGGAAGCAAUAGGAAGAAGAAUGGACCGGGAUCCAUAGGUUCACUAGUGGUUUCUCUCCAAAAGAAAUAGCAAAGUGUGAUGAACAAAUACAGCUGUGCAUCGAUUAAAUUACGGUUUUUAUGAGUAUGGUUAUACAUGGUAUAAUUGCAUAUGACCAUCACGUCCAAACAUCUAUAAACCAUCAUCCUACUACAUCUACAGCUAAUACUCCAUCCCAAGACCAUUAUCCAACAUGCAUCUCAAAGUAUUAAGUUAAAGAAAUAUAUUAUUGCAUUAAGUAUGAUGACACGAAGUGACACAUUGUCUUCACCCUGCGUUCAAAAGGACAACUACGCAAUCAUAUUUUUUAUCCGUAAUGGCAACAAUAAAAUACAAUGCAAACCUUUUCCACUUUCUAUCACUGCAAUAGAUUACUUACAAGAUUGAACCCAACUAACAUACACAACUUCCUUUUGCAGAUCAUCCAUCAAACUUGGCCAAAGAAAUAUAAAUAGAUCGGUGAGCAUAUGUGAGUAAGAAUUUUGCAACAAAGAAACCAAAUUGAUCUCAAAAGAAUUAAUGGAUAGAUCUGGUCAUACAGUGACAAAUCAUCACAUGGCAACAAUGCAUCAGCAAAUUACAUUGAAUGGAUCACAAUCAUGUAGGGCAGCUCAUGUGAUAUUUGUAUUGAGAAGCAACCGAGAGAAAAACCAACUAGUUAUUGAUAUGGAUCCAUAGUCCAAAGAAAACUACUCACGAGCGAUCAUGGUGGCCUUCAAGUUGAUGUAGAUGGACAUUGAGAUGAUUUCCUUCUCCGACAGAGCACCGGAAAAGGCCUCUAGAUUGGAUCACUUCAAAACAGAGAGGUGCGGUUGUGGAAACAGAAAGACUCCUCAAUGUGUAGGGGUUUUGGAGCAAACAAAAAAUAUACGUUUUCAUAGCCACAAGGGGACCACGUGGUUGUACCACGCGGCCACCUUGGCUAUGUGGGGUCCUAGAUGGGACUCAAGUCCUCCGGAAGCUUCUCGUUGAAAAAUAUUUUCUAGAGUUUAUUUAAGGAUUUUUUGAGCUCUAUAAAAUUGAUGUUCCUGAAAGUCCAACAACAUGCAGAAAACAACAACUAACACUCCGCACUGAGUUAAUAGGUUAGUCUAGAAAAAUAAUAAAAGUUGAUGCCAAAUUAUGCCAAAAUGAUAUAAACCUAGCAUGAAACAAUAAAAAAAUAUACAUAUCUGAGACGUAUCAGCAUCACCGGGUUGAAUCCAUACUUGUCCUCUAGCAGAUAGAUCAUAACAACAUAAAUUUUGAUUGUAAAUGCUACGAACAUGAAUUAUAAUCAAUAUGAUGCAAUUUAGGUAUGACUGUAAAGAACAACGAUGCAAUGCAACAUUUUGUAGUUGAUAAAAAAGAUAACAUCAAAAAGUACAAGUAAAAUCACUCGCUUUUCAUGGAUCAAUGCUUUCAUAUCAAAUUCACCAAUGCCAUUUAUGUUUAGAUACAAUGUUAGGUGUAUCAUGAAACCAUAGUAUGCUAAGUCUUAAUUGUAUCAGAAACAAUUUUACCAUAAAGUGGCCAGAGUGUUGGUCAAGCACAUCAAUUACACAAUCUCGUGUUUCAAUUAAUCUAGAGUUAUGCAUUUUCUAGGGCGAGCCUUAAUCUUUACACUCAAACGGAAAAAGGAAUAAUCAUGGAGGUUAAUAAGUCGAAAAGAAAGAAAGUAUGGCAUCAACGCGACUGAUCUUUAGGUUAUGGAGAAGCCAUAUAAGCGAUGUUGAUGCACAGAGUAGCGAUUGUCAUGCAACAGAUCCACUAAAGCUAUGAAUAUAUAAAAGCUCUCCAAAUGAAUUAGUGGAGAUGUGCACCAAACUUCGCUUGUUUAUAAACACAUAAAGCGUUUGAGAAAGCUCAUCCAACAUCGCUGGUUCUACGGUGAAAAAUUACCAACUAACAUGUAAACAUGAAGAAUAUGAAAUGCAAGAAUGGUGCUAGUUUGAAUAAUAUGCAUGAAGCGUAUGCAUGGUAAUUUAAAGCACUAAGGGCAUCUCCAACGCAGACCCUCAAACUGCCCGCAAUCGUCCGAACUGCGUGGUCCAGGCGUGUUGUGUCAUCCAACGCGGGCCUGUAUCAUUCCACACAUCGGUUCAUACAUGCUUUCUCCNNNNNNNNNNNNNNNNNNNNNNNNNNNNNNNNNNNNNNNNNNNNNNNNNNNNNNNNNNNNNNNNNNNNNNNNNNNNNNNNNNNNNNNNNNNNNNNNNNNNNNNNNNNNNNNNNNNNNNNNNNNNNNNNNNNNNNNNNNNNNNNNNNNNNNNNNNNNNNNNNNNNNNNNNNNNNNNNNNNNNNNNNNNNNNNNNNNNNNNNNNNNNNNNNNNNNNNNNNNNNNNNNNNNNNNNNNNNNNNNNNNNNNNNNNNNNNNNNNNNNNNNGGGGGGGUUGCGGGAGUUCACACAGCAGCCACGUAGGACUCCGGCACCCGGAGCCCACGCCCCCUCCCGGUCCCAUUUCCUUCCACUCUACCCCUUCUCGCCCUUACUUUGCAUCCGCGCCCUCCAUCUCCGUCACCACCCUUGUACCUCUUCGGCCGUCACAGAGGCAUUGUCGGACGUCCACAACCAGCACUGACGCGCACGCCCGCUUUUACGACGGUGUUGCCCACCCUAGAGCCGUUUGUACCUAGGUACACUCCGCCCCCUGUCGACGACCUCCAUGACGGACACCACGCCCGAUAGGUGUUCGAUCAAAUGCCAUUUAGCUUAAUUUCGAAUGCCAUGUCAUUCUUUCGGAGUACGAAGGUUGGCGGGGUACUCGACCGUGGAGGAUGAGUUGUUGUGCGAUGCAUGGUUGGUUGUAUCCAUCAAUUUUGUAGGCAGGAGCGGAGGAGGACCUUCUGGCAGCAAGUGCAUGAAUCGUUUCGCGCGCGAAAACACAUUGCUCCCUACGACAUGCACAUCAUUUAAGAACACAAUGUGAGGUCGUUAUCAUAUCACUAGCACGGUAUCCAGACCAGCGUCACCAAGUUUUGUCGCGUGGUUGAUCAGCUGGAGGCAAGGUGGCCAUUGCACGCAGCAGAGGAGGAGUUCGUGAGUUUUGCUUCUUCUUGCUCGACUUGUUUAAAUCAUUCAUUCACUUAAUGCUGGUCUACAUGUUCAUUUACUCAAUGCUGGUCUACACAUUAUGUAGCCCGCUCACGUUGCCGUGAUGUACCACAGAACAGAGGGACGGCCAUUUAAGUACACAUUGUUAGAUAAAGUUGAAGGGGCAGUAUAUGUGGGACGACGUAAUCUGUUAAUGAAGCUUAUUGGACAUCCGGUUAAGAUAUUGUUGUACUAGACUUAUUUGGAUGAUUGAUUUGUGCUAUUUUCAAUCCAAACUGGAUAAAUGUCGGCCGAUUUGCAUGAAUUUCAUCCGGCUGAAGUGUGUAUGCAGGCAACAUUGGAUGAAAUUUCAUCCUAUCAAUUUGCAUGAAUUUCAUCCUGCUGAAGUGUGUGUGCUAUCUUGCACGAAUUUCAUCCGGCUGAAGUGUGUAUGCAGACAGCAUUGGGUGGAAUUUCCUCCGACUGAACAAUCAGUAUCCACAGACUACGCCGGAGUAUCCGCAGACUAUGCCGGUAUCCGCAGACCAUGCUAAAGCAAAUUUCAAAUUUACGGGUCAGUGGUGUUGGAUGAAAUUUCAUCCGGAGACUAUGCCAGAGCAAAUUUACGGGUCAGUAGCGUUGGAUGAAAAGAAAUUUCAUCCGGCUAAACGAUCAGUAUACGCAGACUAUGCGGAGCGUAUGCCCUAAUGUAUGAAAUGCAAAAAAGAAUAACGACCCUUUCAAGAAAAAAAAAACGUUGGAGUUGCUGCAAAAAGUAGUACUACUGUUGCCUCCUCUCUCUCCUCUCUGUGCCUCUUUCAUUCCUCACAAAGAUUGGAACAACACCGAACAAUAUACCUUAGGCUGUUAGGCAUGUGUGGUUUCUGUAUUCUCCUGAUCCAAUUUGUAUGCCCUAGAACAUCAUUGUGCAGUAAAGCUCUGCCACUCGCUCAAAAAAAAAAAAACAAGGGUGAAGCGGCCAGCAAGCCAUGGUGAUGUAUAUUGUUGCCUUGCCUUGGGAGAUGGUUUCAAUCCUGCACCUGAUGUGCUUGUUUGUUUUCGCCUCCCGCACGUACGUCUGUACUGCUGAUGUGUCGAAGUUUGAUGGUCGUUGCGAAGCCACCGCUAUUUUCUAGCGGUGGGAUAAUCGUCUUACACGUUUCGCAUUCAGCGAAGACAGAAUCUGAACUUCGUUUCAAAAAAGGAAGACGGAUUCUGAAGUAUUCUCGUACGAAGGAUGAACCAAAUGGUGAAUUAUCCUCGUCGAUAUCAAAUGAUCGGCAGCGUGUAGUAAAACAGCAGAAACAUCACACACACACAGGACACACUGAAGCAGCACAGAAGCAAAUGCAUGGACAGACGAAGCGGCCCGGGCCUUUUCUUAUUCACAACUCGGUACUAAACCGAUCGAUCGGACGAACACGAGCAGUACUAAAACAGUAGAAACAUCACACACACACACUGACACGCACGAACACACACACUCGCUCGUGUAGACACGUACGAAGGCACUAGCAUACAUAGAGCAGGUAGCAGACGACGCGCGCGCGCCCUGCUGCGCGGCGCGGCCGACUGGCAUCGGCCUGCUAGCUCCAGCUUACGACGACGCCCUGGUGCCGGUGCCGGCGCCCGCUCCGCCGGUGGCGCCGGUGUGGCCGCCUCCUCCGGCGCGCGC